rnacentral:misc_RNA from 1 species
AAGCGCAGUGCGUGCUUGCUUGCGCAGGUUCCCAUUUUGUGCCAGUGUGCGUGUGCGUGUGCGUGUGCGUGGGCAUUGCUCACCCUCCCCGCCUGACUUGAACAGCUUAGCCAACGCAUGCGUGUUGUGUUCCGCCGAUUGCUGCCGGAGUCGACAGCGGUCGUGGCGGCACCGUCGUCUCUGCUGUCGAUGCGAGGGGCCCCGUCGUUUGUUCACCCGCCUGCAGAGGAAGCCAUCGGAAAAGACGUUAGGGCCACACCAGCGAACUGGGUGACGGCGUACGUGCUGCCGGAGGUGAUCACGGAGCAGGAGGAGAAGACGCUUCUAGACUUCUCGGAGCCCUGGUUUGAGCGGUUGAGCUACAGCGAUGGCCACAUGGACGGCCUCAUCCACCACUACAAGGAGUUCUACCGCUCAUACGCUGCCAUCACGCAAGCAGCAGAGACAGGCAGCGAUGCUGGCCUGAACAUGCCACACGCGAACCUCGAGGUCGAUCUCCCGCUCGUCUCCGGAGCCCUUGCCCGGGCGCACGACCUUGCACAGGCGUAUCUGCCGCGUAUCCCCAUCGACGACCGCGUGCACUUCUUGCGGCUGGCGGGGAGCGGCUUCAUUCGGGCCCAUGUAGACGAAAGCCGCAACUCAACUGGCAUUGUCGCUGGCUUGUGUCUGAACGCUGGCCGCGUCAUGACGCUCACGCACCCGGAGUAUCCCGGCGAGCGCGUCGAGCUGAUGCUGGCGCCGCGCUGCUUGUACAUUUUGAUCGGACGAGCUCGAUACGACUGGGCGCACAGUGUCGACUGGAUCGGCGACGAUGAUGAGCACAUCCGCCGUAUCCAGAAGAGCCUCGUUGUCGAGGGCACGCCAAUACGCUUCGAUGGCGCAGAAACGCCGUAUCGCCGGUUUGACCGCACCGCGAUUAUCUUCCGAGGUGUGUCCCCCAUGACUCUGCUUGCCAGGCGCAUGCGACAGAGGGGUUGAGAGGAGAAGGCAAUCGUACGAGGCUGCGGCGCAGGUCCUCGUGAUCCCGUUGACGUCUCCUCUCUGUGUGCGUGGAACGUUGUCUUUGCCCUCCGACCAGCGUCUUGACAGUAUUUUG